rnacentral:rRNA from 1 species
UACGUAGGGUGCAAGCGUUAAUCGGAAUUACUGGGCGUAAAGCGUGCGCAGGCGGUUAUGCAAGACAGAUGUGAAAUCCCCGGGCUUAACCUGGGAACUGCAUUUGUGACUGCAUGACUAGAGUACGGUAGAGGGGAAUGGAAUUCCGCGUGUAGCAGUGAAAUGCGUAGAUAUCUGGAGGAACACCGGUGGCGAAGGCGGCAUCCUGGACCAACACUGACACUGAGGAGCGAAAGCCAGGGGAGCAAACGGG